GUCAACUUGGCCGAGUGGUUAAGGCGACAGACUUGAAAUCUGUUGGGUUCGCCCGCGUAGGUUCAAAUCCUGCAGUUGACG
rnacentral:tRNA from 1 species